UACAGAGGGUGCGAGCGUUAAUCGGAAUUAUUGGGCGUAAAGAGCUCGUAGGCGGCUUGUCACGUCGGGUGUGAAAGCCCGGGGCUUAACCCCGGGUCUGCAUUCGAUACGGGCAGGCUAGAGUGUGGUAGGGGAGAUCGGAAUUCCUGGUGUAGCGGUGAAAUGCGCAGAUAUCAGGAGGAACACCGGUGGCGAAGGCGGAUCUCUGGGCCAUUACUGACGCUGAGGAGCGAAAGCGUGGGGAGCGAACAGG
rnacentral:rRNA from 1 species